rnacentral:sRNA from 1 species
GUAUAAGGAUAAAAGCUAAGUUCGCGACCUCAAUCGCCACACCUUUGUGACCCACAUCCUGUGGG